CAAUGGCCCUGGGCCAGUGUCUGUCAGCCAGUUUCCCAGCCCCUGGUACACUGAAGCUCAGGCCUUUCUUGGCUCCCUGGUCUCCUACACUGAGCUGUGUGAGCUCUUCUGCCCAGGCAGGCCACUUGGCAUUGAUCGGCAUAGAUGGUGACCCCGGAGGAAAACUUGUGUUGGGCCCGCUGUCACUGGGCCAGUGUCAGUCAGCCAGGUGCCCAGUCCCUGGUGCACUGAAGCUUGGGCCCUUCUGGCACCCUUGGCUCCUGCACUGAGCUAUGUGAGCUCUUCUGCCCAAGUGGUCCCUGUGGCCUUGAGCGGCAUAGAUGGUAAGACUUCUGUUGGGCUCACUUUUCCUGGGCCAGUG